UAUGAUUCGUAUCGAGUGUUCGUAAUCCCUAUGCUGGUAUGUAAAAGAGUAAACCAAACACAAACAUUUCCAAUCUGCAAGAUUCAGUAUCAGGAGAACAGAAACACCCCUAGAUUAAUGCCUAGAUCGUCCAAUAGUAGUUUCUUCUGUUACCCAGGUUCAGUGCAACUCAUCGAAUCCUAACUCAUCGAAAGACAGUUCAUAUACACCCAACUCACAUAUAGCCACUACAUUGAGAGCUCCAACUCAUCAACAGGACAUUUCAUAGACAUUCACAUGAAUGAUGGGUUUUGGCAGAAAAACAAUGAAAACAUUUAUAAACAUUUUUUUGUAGAAAAUCUUCAUUUUUUUGAAUUUAUACUUAUCAUCAACGAAAAAUCAAUUGUGGAGAGGUGACAGUUCAUAAAAAACGACGAAAAAAAUUACGGUUACUAUUAUCAGAGCGUAGGCGCAAAAUUUCGAGCCAAUGCUUUUUAGAUGUAUUCAUUUUUUCGAAUCCUGAGAAAACUAAUAAGCAUUUUUGACAAAUUUAAACGCAAAAUGAAAGAUUACUUUAUUAUUACAGAGGGCAGAAAGUCCCCGAAAACUUCUAUGUUUAUUUUAAUAAGGUACAGGGGUGAAAAAGAAGAGAAAAUUUAAUGUGAUUUUUAAUUCCAAACAUCUCACUCAAAAGAAACUUUUUGUUUAUUCUAAAGGACCUUAGGCCCUUGGUAAUAAUAUAAUCUUUCAUUCUGCAUUUAUAUUUUUCAAAAAUAUGUAUUAGAGAAAAAAACUUUUGAGAAAAACUAUAAGAAUUCAAAAAUCAAAAUAGAUUUUUUUUCAAAUUGUUUCCUAAUAUAAUGCAUAAAUCAAAGUGAACACCUUUUAAAAGGAAGCAUUAUGGAAGAGAGACAAAAUUAAUAAACAUAAUAUUCAGUGACACUUGUAUUUUUUCCAAAAAAAAAUAAAUAAACAACAAUUGGUUCAUACAAAUUGUUUGAUUCGUAAAAUUUUAACAAAUAAAAUUUACAAUACACACCCCUUGAGACAUUCAUUUUACCUUUAUUUAUCAAAUACAUAACAAAUUACAAAAUGCAUACACCACAUCUCCAAAACCAGCUGAAGGUGCUGAUCACCUUUUUAGCUUGUCUUAGAAAAUGAUUCAACUGAACUUAAUAUGUAUUUCAAAAGUCAGUGCAGAAAGAGAAUUUUACA
rnacentral:lncRNA from 1 species